rnacentral:SRP_RNA from 1 species
GGUUGGUCCCCUCGCAACAAUACAUCGUGAACUCGGUCAGGCCUGGAAGGGAGCAGCCGUAGCGGUCGACUUGUGUGCCGGGGUGUGGCUGGUCCAG